CAGCAGCCGCGGUAAUACGUAGGUGGCAAGCGUUGUCCGGAAUUAUUGGGCGUAAAGGGCUCGCAGGCGGUUUCUUAAGUCUGAUGGGAAAGCCCCCGGCUCAACCGGGGAGGGUCAUUGGAAACUGGGAAACUUGAGUGCAGAAGAGGUGAGUGGAAUUCCACGUGUAGCGGUGAAAUGCGUAGAGAUGUGGAGGAACACCAGUGGCGAAGGCGACUCUCUGGUCUGUAACUGACGCUGAGGAGCGAAAGCGUGGGGAGCGAACAGGAUUAGAUACCCGUGUAGUCCCUGUCUCUUAUAC
rnacentral:rRNA from 1 species